AUGACCCCUUGGCCUUUUGACUAAUAUCAAGUGCACUAACUGGUCUUAUCAGUUCAAUAUCUGAUAUGUCCUUUAUCUGAGGACAAUUUGUUAAAUUGAUUUUUGGAACUUGCUCCAUACAUUCCAUAGACCUGGCAUUGUAGUACCUAUAGCACCAGUUCUCAGCCUGGGUUGUGACCCGUUU
rnacentral:snRNA from 1 species